rnacentral:misc_RNA from 1 species
GCUUAUCUCAAUUAUAUGAAUUGACUUUGGUUUUCUUCCUUCCUUGCGAAGGAAAUUGGAUUUUCCUUCUAUUAAUACUUGAUUUUGAAUUACACCCUUGCAGACCAAAAAUGGAGGAGCCUUUGCUUUCAGAGAAAGCAAGUGAAUUGGGAGAGAAAGAAAGUGAGAGGUGGAGCUCAUACCAGUACGUGGGUCGGACUGGGUCAGCAAUUCCCACUGCUUCGUUGGGAGGAACUGAAGUCAGUGUCGAAGAAAUUCGAUCGGCGGCUGCUUCCGAUUACU